UAGGUUAGGUUAAUCUAUAAGACAGCAGGCUGGUAGCUGAUGGUUAGUUUAGUUAGGUCAGAUUAGUUAGUUUAGGUUAGGAUUGGUUAGGUUAGUUAGGUUAAUGUUAGUUAGCUUAGGUUAAUCUGUAAGACAUCAAGCUGUAGCUGAUGGUUAGUUAGUUUAGAUUAGGGUUAGUUAGCUUAGGUUAAUCUGUAAGACAUCAAGCUGUAACUGAUGGUUAGUUAGUUUAGGUUAGGGUUAGUUAGCUUAGGUUAAUCUGUAAGACAUCAGGCUGUAGCUGAUGGUUAGGUUAGUUUAGUUUAGGUUAGGGUUACAUUAAUCUGUAAGACAUCAAGCUGUAACUGAUGGUUAGGUUAGUUAGUUUAGGUUAGGGUUAGUUAGCUUAGGUUAAUCUGUCAGACAUCAAGCUGUAACUGAUGGUUAGUUAGUUUAGGUUAGUGUUAGUUAGCUUAGGUUAAUCUGUAAGACAUCAGGCUGUAGCUGAUGGUAAGGUUAGUUUAGUUUAGGUUAGGGUUAGGUUAAUCUGUAAGACAUCAAGCUGUAACUGAUGGUUAGGUUAGUUAGUUUAGGUUCAGGUUAGUUAGGUUAGGUUAAUCUGUAAGACAUCAGGCUGUAGCUGAUGGUUAGGUUAGUUAGUUUAGGUUAGGUUAGUUAGGUUAGGUUAAUCUGUAAGACAUCAGGCUGUAGCUGAUGGUUAGGUUAGUUUAGGUUAGGUUAGUUAGGUUAGGUUAAUCUGUAAGACAUCA